rnacentral:tRNA from 1 species
GCUAGCGUAGCUUAAACCCUUAAAGCGUAACCUUGAAAUUGUUUCUCUGGACCCUAGAAAGUCCCGCAAGCA